CAGCAGCCGCGGGAACACAGAGGGUGCGAGCGUUAAUCGGAUUUACUGGGCGUAAAGCGUGCGUAGGCGGCUUCUUAAGUCGGAUGUGAAAUCCCUGAGCUUAACUUAGGAAUUGCAUUCGAUACUGGGAAGCUAGAGUAUGGGAGAGGAUGGUAGAAUUCCAGGUGUAGCGGUGAAAUGCGUAGAGAUCUGGAGGAAUACCGAUGGCGAAGGCAGACAUCUGGCCUAAUACUGACGCUGAGGUACGAAAGCAUGGGGAGCAAACAGGAUUAGAUACCCCCGUAGUCCCUGUCUCUUAUAC
rnacentral:rRNA from 1 species